AGGAUGUCGGGACAGGAGCACCUUUCAUUCACAUGGAUCACAGAGUGAAAAAUGGUCGGAAAUGCCUCUCUGUGCCGGUCGUGCCUGCAGGAAACUGUGAACUACAGAUCUAUAUUGGGACAGAUGACAAAACAAGUUUAGGAAGGAACUACAGGAAUUUCCAAACCACCCUGACAAGAGAUGUCACAUGAAUCUGAUGGCGUAAGGCUUGCAUGUUCAAACUCAUCUGAUGUUAAAAAAAAAAAAAAAAAGAUGUGGAUUCAAUGUGAAUGCCAGAUUUGGUUUGGCUGGUGCAUUUGCAAAAGGAAUUAAAGUUUUAUAAAGUCAGCUGACUUUAUAAUGCAUAGCCUUUUCAAAGUCAUUGACACAUAAAUUCAAGUUUUAGCUCAGAAGAUUUAAUUUAAGUAACACUGAAAUGCCUUAACUAAUGCUUUGAUGAUCUUGAUCACCUAAAGACACAAUCUAAAGUGCCAGGAAACUGCGUUGUAAAAAUGCUUUGGCAGACAGCUUGAAAACAUGCUUCAUAUGGUGACAUCUAAGUUAAAAUAUGUAUUUUAUUUCAUUGAAUACGGCUAAAUCAAUUCGAAAACAUUAAUUAAAUAUAAAUUAAAUUUUAAUUGAAUUAAAUUUAAUUUAUGCAUUUAGCAGAUGCUUUUAUCCAAAGCGACAUACAGUGCAUUCAGUCUAUCAAUUUUUACCUAUCAUGUGUUCCCGGGGAAUCGAACCCCCAACCUUGCGCAAUGCUCUACCAAUUGAGCUACAGGAACACUAAUUACAACAGUAAUAACUAACAACAACAACUGGCUCACAGAAAGAUAUGAUAAACUUGGUGUGAUAUUAGAUCUAUGGCAAGACAAGUAGCCUAUAGGUGGCAAAUGCACUUUAUGAUAUGUUGACAUUUAUAUUCUUCCAUAUUAAUAAGUGCACGCUGCCUCUGUAUUAAACAGCAGCUAGGUUGAGGCUCAUCAGUCCAUGACUCAUCUUGACUCAUUAGUUCAAGUCUGCAAAGUCGCAACUAAGAAUUCUUUCCUCUUGGACUCAAGUCUCAGUCUCACAUAUCUUCUGAGACUAGCCUAGACCUGCAUCACAUGUUAAAUUACACGUGUAGUUGCUUGAAAGAUGCCUCCAUAUUAAAAUACACAGCUGUAGCAAACUAACUUUACAGCUCUUGUUUCUUAUUAUGUAGAAAUUGCGUAUUGGUGUUGGAUAUAUGCUAGUUGGGUUUGCAUCAGUAUAUGAAAGUGAUGAGUGUUGGGCGACUCUUAGAUGACUAAGUUUUCUCUUUUAAAAGUUCUGCUUUGACUUCAUAUUUCAGUGCCGCUGUGUUACAGCACAGGGUUUGUAUCUGUCUGCUUCCUGACACAUUUGUUUGUUAGUAACCGUGUGUCUGUGAGGUGCUUGGAGCUGUGCAACCCCCUGAACAGACAGUCUUCAACCAGAUGCUGUCACACUCUGAUAGACUCACAGAGCUCAUGCAGUCACUGCUUCAUUCACUCUGAAGCUCAGUCACACGUUCAUGUGGGGCUUCAGGUCAGACUUUAAAAAUACUGACACAUAUACAUUCUCUCAGAUUCAUAAGUGUAUAUCUUAGGUUCUGUAAACUGUCACCAUUUCUGUAUUUUCACCGUUUUGAACACCUUUUACCUUACCUUACCACUACAGGUCCUGUAGUGCGACAAAUGAUGCUUUCACAUUUUAAUUACAAAUAUUCAGUAUAUACUGUAUGAUUCAAAAGUUUGGGGUCAAAAAGAUUUUGUAAAUGUUUCUUUGUAGAACGUCUCUUAUGCUUACUAAGGCUGCAUGUUACUGACUAAAAAUACAGUAAAAACUGUUAUAUUGUGUAAAUUUCUUACCAUAUAAAAU
rnacentral:lncRNA from 1 species